rnacentral:rRNA from 1 species
GAUGAACGCUGGCGGCGUGCCUAAUACAUGCAAGUCGAGCGAACAGACGAGGAGCUUGCUCCUCUGACGUUAGCGGCGGACGGGUGAGUAACACGUGGAUAACCUACCUAUAAGACUGGGAUAACUUCGGGAAACCGGAGCUAAUACCGGAUAAUAUAUUGAACCGCAUGGUUCAAUAGUGAAAGACGGUUUUGCUGUCACUUAUAGAUGGAUCCGCGCCGCAUUAGCUAGUUGGUAAGGUAACGGCUUACCAAGGCAACGAUGCGUAGCCGACCUGAGAGGGUGAUCGGCCACACUGGAACUGAGACACGGUCCAGACUCCUACGGGAGGCAGCAGUAGGGAAUCUUCCGCAAAGGGCGAAAGCCUGACGGAGCAACGCCGCGUGAGUGAUGAAGAUCUUCGGAUCGUAAAACCCUGUUAUUAGGGAAGAACAAAUGUGUAAGUAACUAUGCACGUCUUGACGGUACCUAAUCAGAAAGCCACGGCUAACUACGUG